UUCUGGUUGAUCCUGCCGGAGGCUACCGCUAUUGGAGUUCGAUUAAGCCAUGCGAGUCGAGAGUCUUAGGGACUCGGCGUACCGCUCAGUAACACGUGGGUAACCUGCCCUAUGCUGGGGAAUAACCUCGGGAAACUGAGAAUAAUACCCCAUAGUUCACCACGCCUGGAACGGUGGGUGGAUGAAAGCUCCGGCGGCAUAGGAUGGGCCUGCGACGUAUCAGGUUGUAGGGGGUGUAACGUACCCUCUAGCCAUCAACGCGUACGGGUGUUGGGAGACAUAGCCCGGAGAUGGAUUCUGAGACACGAAUCCAGACCCUACGGGGUGCAGCAGGCGCGAAAACUUGGCAAUGCGAGCAAUCGUGACCAGGGAACUCCAAGUGGCUGGGGUAAUACCCAGUUUUUUCUUGACUCUUCAAGGGUCUUGGAAUAAGGGGUGGGUAAGGACGGUGCCAGCCGCCGCGGUAAUACCGGCGCCUCAAGUGGUAGUCGCUUUUAUUGGGCCUAAAACGUCCGUAGCCGGUCUGGUGCAUUCGUGGGUAAAUCAACCCGCUCAACGGGUUGAAUUCUGCGAGCACGGCCAGACUUGGGACCGGGAGAGGUGUGGGGUACUCUCAGGGUAGGGGUAAAAUCCUGUCAUCCUGAGAGGACCACCUGUU
rnacentral:rRNA from 1 species